UACGAAGGGGCUAGCGUUGCUCGGAAUUACUGGGCGUAAAGGGCGCGUAGGCGGACAGUUUAGUCAGAGGUGAAAGCCCAGGGCUCAACCUUGGAAUAGCCUUUGAUACUGACUGUCUUGAGUACGGGAGAGGUGUGUGGAACUCCGAGUGUAGAGGUGAAAUUCGUAGAUAUUCGGAAGAACACCAGUGGCGAAGGCGACACACUGGCCCGUUACUGACGCUGAGGCGCGAAAGCGUGGGGAGCAAACAGG
rnacentral:rRNA from 1 species